GAUCAGUGAGACAGGUGCUGGUAAGGCAAUUACUUUAUUAGUCACCUGGUCCCUGCGAAAAACACUCAUGUUUUUAAGACACGUGCUUACCAACCAUUUAUCUUUUACUAAGAUAGCAUGUACUAACGCAUUACUGUCGGUUUUUGACAUAGUUACUUGACAUGUUUCAGAGCCAUGUUUAAGGUACUCGAUCCCACACAAAGCAUUGGUAGAAUCGUACACAAAAGGUUUUCCAU